rnacentral:rRNA from 1 species
UACGAGGGGGGCGAGCGUUGUUCGGAAUUAUUGGGCGUAAAGGGCGCGUAGGCGGUGCGACGUGUCUCCUGUGAAAUCUCCAGGCUCAACUUGGAGUCUGCAGGAGAAACUGUCGUGCUGGAGUACUGGAGAGGUGAGUGGAAUUCCCGGUGUAGCGGUGAAAUGCGUAGAUAGUCGGGAGGAACACCUGUGGCGAAGGCAGAUCUCUGGGCCGUAACUGACGCUGAGGAGCGAAAGCGUGGGGAGCGAACAGG